UACGUAGGGACCGAGCGUUGUCCGGAAUCAUUGGGCGUAAAGAGCGUGUAGGCGGCCCGAUAAGUCCGCCGUGAAAGUCCAGGGCUCAACCCUGGAAUGCCGGUGGAAACUGUCGGGCUGGAGUCCGGAAGAGGCGAGUGGAAUUCCUGGUGUAGCGGUGAAAUGCGCAGAUAUCAGGAGGAACACCAAUGGCGAAGGCAGCUCGCUGGGACGGUACUGACGCUGAGACGCGAAAGCGUGGGGGAGCAAACAGG
rnacentral:rRNA from 1 species